CCUACGGGAGGCAGCAGUGGGGAAUAUUACACAAUGGGGGGAACCCUGAUGCAGCGACGCCGCGUGUGUGAAGAAGCGCCUCGGCGCUUAAAGCCCUGUCAGCAGGGAAGUAAAUGACGGUACCUGAAGAUGAUGCCCCGGCUAACUACGUGCCAGCAGCCGCGGUAAUACGUCGGGGGCCAGCGUCAUCCGGAUGUACUGGGUGUAAAGGGGGCGCAGACGGCGUUGCAAGCCAGGAGUGAAAGCCCGGGGCCCAACCCCGGGACUGCUCGUGGAACUGGGGGGCUGGAGUGCAGGAGGGGCAGGCGGAAUGCGUGGUGUAGCGGUGAAAUGCGUAGAUAUCAGGAGGAACACCGGUGGCGAAGGCGGCCUGCUGGACUGCAACUGACGUUGAGGCCCGAAAGCGUGGGGAGCAAACAGGAUUAGAUACCCUAGUAGUC
rnacentral:rRNA from 1 species